GAUGAAGAACGCAGUGAAAUGCGAUAAGUAAUGUGAAUUGCAGAAUUCAGUGAAUCAUCGAAUCUUUGAACGCACAUUGCGCCCGCCAGUAUUCUGGCGGGCAUGCCUGUUCGAGCGUCAUUUCAACCAUCAAGCCCCAGGCUUGUGUUGGAGCCCUGCGGCUGCCGCAGCCUCCCAAAACCAGUGGCGGGCUCGCUAUCACACCGAGUGCAGUAGUUUACUCUUCGCUCAGGGCGUGUGGCGGGUGCUAGCCGUAAAACCCCCAACUUCUCAAGGUUGACCUCGGAUCAGGUAGGAAUACCCGCUGAACUUAAGCAUAUCAAUUAAGCGGAGGA
rnacentral:misc_RNA from 1 species